UAAAUUACUCGAACUCUGAUGGCC
rnacentral:siRNA from 1 species